UACGUAGGUGGCAGGCGUUGUCCGGAUUUAUUGGGUUUAAAGGGUGCGUAGGUGGCUAUUUAAGUCAGCGGUGAAAUAUCUCAGCUUAACUGAGAGGGUGCCAUUGAUACUGGAUAGCUUGAGUACAGAUGAGGUAGGCGGAAUUGACGGUGUAGCGGUGAAAUGCAUAGAUAUCGUCAAGAACACCGAUAGCGAAGGCAGCUUACCAAGCUGUAACUGACACUGAGGCACGAAAGUGUGGGGAUCAAACAGGAUUAGAAACCC
rnacentral:rRNA from 1 species